GCGGGGGUAGCGAAGCCUGGCCAAACGCGCAAGCUUCAGGAGCUUGUCCCUUAGUGGGUUCGGGGGUUCGAAUCCUCCCUCCCGCA
rnacentral:tRNA from 1 species